rnacentral:rRNA from 1 species
CCUACGGGAGGCAGCAGUGGGGAAUAUUGGACAAUGGGGGAAACCCUGAUCCAGCAAUGCCGCGUGAGUGAUGAAGGCCUUAGGGUUGUAAAGCUCUUUUACCAGGGAUGAUAAUGACAGUACCUGGAGAAUAAGCUCCGGCUAACUCCGUGCCAGCAGCCGCGGUAAUACGGAGGGAGCUAGCGUUGUUCGGAAUUACUGGGCGUAAAGCGCACGUAGGCGGUUACUCAAGUCAGAGGUGAAAGCCCGGGGCUCAACCCCGGAACUGCCUUUGAAACUAGGUAACUAGAAUCCUGGAGAGGUGAGUGGAAUUCCGAGUGUAGAGGUGAAAUUCGUAGAUAUUCGGAAGAACACCAGUGGCGAAGCGGCUCACUGGACAGGUAUUGACGCUG